UCAAGGGAUGAGGGGGCUAUUGAAGGUAAUGACAAAAAAGGGUCUAGCAGGGUUUUUUUGUUUUGUUUGGUGGCCAGGAGAAAGUAGCGAGGACUGGCCUGAGGUGCAAAGCUGGUUAGUGGUCAAGCUUUUGCAAAGUUUCCUCACUGAAGACUAAAGGGGCUGUCAGAGGAUUAAAAGGAGUUCUUGGUUUUUUCAUUUUAAGAUUCAUUUGUGGAUUUCCAUGAAAACUCAUGAAAAAUCUGUCCCCUGCUGCACGUGCAAAGUUCUAGACCUCACCUGGGGGAUGAUGGUCAGUUUCUCUCGGAGGUCAUGGAGCCCAAUGGAAGCAAUAUCUACCCCAUCAAUGAUGAUCUGGCCACCUGCAGCCUCUAGGAUUCUGAAGAGGGCAUUUGUCAAGGAUGACUUCCCAGCUCCUGUCCUGCCGACCACACCAACCUGUAAAUACAGUUCCUUUGUACAUUA